CAUUGAUAGAUGGCGUAUUUUCUAUUUCAAUCGAUAAUGAAGAAUUUCUGUGUUAUCGACGUGCGCAAGUGCCAGUCUUUGCUUUCUGAUAUAAAUCCAAGAUGGCGACUAAUUGAGUAGCUUCUCACUAAUUUCAACGUGCGUUCUAAAUUUUUGCACAGGAAAAAGCUCUGCUGAUCAAAUAAACCAAUGAAAAAACCUGAAAAUACUUAUGUAGAACCGCCAAAAUAGUUUCAUCAAAGUGUUGUUACAUUUUAUUUUAAUAAUAAAAAAUUUAGAAAACGGAAAAGUUUAUUCCUACACAUUUGUCAAUUGUCACUAUGAUUGAAAACACUUUUAUCAUAAUUAAUUGUAACAGCGGAAAUUAAGUAGAUCAUGAGCCAGCCUUUGGAUCCAAGAUAUAUGUAAAUAUACAUACCCAUUUAUCUACAAUUUACUAUUUAUCAAGUUUACUAUAAUAUAUAAUUACCGAAAGACAUAACGGUAGUUUUCUCCAAUUAUCGUAACGUUAAAUUAUUGUAUAAAUUGAGACACUAAAGCUGUAAUUAUUGGUAAUUUGGAUCUAAGUAACGCCCUGUGAGUAUAAUUCUUCAAUUGAUAAUACCUAUUGUGUGAUCAUAAUUCUUUAAGGAUUGUAUUAUAUCAUCUUCUGAGCUUACUAACAUAAAAAAAAACAGAUUGGGAAUUAAAUAGAAAGGAAAAAAUAAGCGUGUUUUUAUUGAACUGCCAUUUUUAGUAAUACGUGACAAGCAUUAUUAUCUAUUAUUUCCGUAAUUUCUUGAAAUAAUUCAAGAAAAAUGUCGUUUUUUAUACCACUUUAUUUCUCAUCCACUUCA